rnacentral:rRNA from 1 species
AACGAACGCUGGCGGCAUGCCUAACACAUGCAAGUCGAACGAGACCGUCGGGUCUAGUUGCGCACGGGUGCGUAACGCGUGGGAACCUGCCCUUAGGUUCGGUAUAACUCCCUGAAAGGUGUGCUCAUGCCGCAUAAUGUCUUCGCACCAAAGAUUUCUCGCCUUUGGAUGGGCCCGCGUUGGAUUAGCUAGUUGGUAGGGUAAAAGCAUACCAAGGCGACGAUCCAUGGCUGGUCUGAGAGGAGGCUCAGCCACACUGGGAAUGAGACACGGCCCACACUCGGACGGGAGGCAGGAGUAGGGAAUAUUGGACGCUGGGGGAAAGCCUGAUAAAGCAAUGCCGCGGGAGAGAUGAAGGGGUUAGGGUUGUAAAGCUCUUUUAGACGGGAUGAUAAUGACGGUAACGGGAGAAGAAGCUCCGGCUAACUACGUG